ACGUAAAGUGGUUUUCCUUCGUGGAAGUGAAGAAAAUUCUUUGGUCGUUUCCCGGUUUAUUUGGUCUCCGUUUCUGCUACUUGAUUGAUUCCUACCAACUUCUUGCAGCGAUUUUUACUUUGUUUGCAUUGUGUUUGGUUUAAUUGCUUACAUUUGAUGACAACAACAGUGAGGCUAUCACUAUGACAACCAGAGAGGAAGCUUCAGACAUCCUCAAGUCUCACAUCCCAGAUAACAAAGAGGAUUUACUAGAUCAAAUACUUGACCGACAGUCACUUGAUCCUGCCUUUGACCACCUUCUCAACAAAUGUGUCGAGAACCUAUACAACGAUCAUUACUAUGACUGCCUAGCACAGAGUUCCAUCCUCCUGGAUAGAAUAUGGGAAAUGCUUAAUAAGGGUCAUUGGAAAACUGUAUCCCUGCAUUGGCGUAUCUCGUAUUCAGUUGUCUCCCUUUGUAAAGCCUGUUCCCAGCUGGCCUUGUGGCUUACGUCAGACCAAGAUUCCAGCAUUUCUGCCACUGAUGUCCUUAAAUCUUGUGAUAUGGGCUUACUGAUGGGUUCACCUCUUGAAGGAAAUAACUUAACCAAUUUAGCCUCUUCUGUUCAUAGAUUGUUCUGUUCUACUACGGAACAAAAUCGAGGAACGCAGAAAUUAAGCAGAAAUCAGCCAGCCGUGUUAUCUGUGGCUCCUGAAAAAAAAGGUAACGCCAACACUGUUACGGUGUCCCAGGAUAAAAGAUUAAAUCGUGUUGAUGAAUCUGUUCACAAUCAUGCUGUAGAAAACAGUUUGGAAAAAGUCUCGACUAAUAGAUUGAUCCUAGAAAAACCUAGUGAUGUUUGCAAUAACAUUGUGGAUAAAACAAAGGAGAUGGAGACUAAUAUCAUGUUAUCAUCUUCAUCGUUGAGAAGUGAGAAUGGUGUGACAUGUGUUAGAACUAUUGAAAAUAACAACAGUGAACCAUUUCUGACUAAAGUCAGCACUUUCAACUUGCCAAUCACCAAAGUUAAAUGUCCAUCUUUAGAACACUUCCAUAGGAAUUUCUACAACAUGAAUUGUCCAGUCAUCAUAACAAAUGCCAUUAACUACUGGCCAGCCAUGAGCAGCCGGCCAUGGAACUUAGAUUACAUCAAAAGUGUUGCAGGCGCCCGUUUGGUUCCUGUUGAAAUUGGCUCGAAAUACACUGAGGAUUCUUGGAGCCAGAAAUUAAUGACAAUCUCCAGUUUCAUUGAUGAGUUUAUCAUUGAUCCGAAACAAGGAACAGAUAAUGUUGGGUAUUUAGCCCAGCACCAGCUUUUUGACCAAAUCCAAGAACUGAGGAACGAUAUAAGUAUUCCUAUAUAUUGUUGUCUGGGAACUUGUGAAGAUGUUGAUGUCAACGCUUGGUUUGGACCGAAAGGAACGGUCUCACCCCUGCAUAAUGACCCUAAACAUAAUUUUCUGUGUCAAGUGUUUGGAAAGAAACUCAUCCGCCUUUACUCCCCUCAAGACACUGAGUCACUCUAUCCAUACGACAGCCACCUCCUAGACAACACAAGUCAAGUAGAUGUGGAAAAUCCAGACUUGGAGAAAUUCCCAUGUUUUAAAAACCUCAAUUAUAAUGAAUUUAUAUUAGAGCCAGGUGAAAUGUUGUAUCUUCCUCCUAAGUAUUGGCAUUUUGUAAAAUCCCUGUCAGUUAGCUUUUCUGUUAGUUUUUGGUGGGAGUAAACUCACCGUCUCACCUCAUGCACAUACGCACACACACAUAAUAUGCUUGCUUCAACCAUCUGAGUUGUAAUGAUAAGUACAGUACCUCAGAAGGUUCUCUGGUUCUGUGUUGGUCAAGUCUGCAAGUGUUCGGUCAUGUUUAGUCAUAUCUAGUCCUGUAUGGUUAUAUCCGGUGUCUGGUACAGCUUCAAACCAUGUCUGUCCAUGCUUAGUUCCAUUUGGUCGUGCGUGGUCUCUCUCUGGUCUGAAGAACUUUUCGGUAUUUCUGGUCGUGUCUAGUUCUGUAUGGUUAUAUACAGUGAUUGUGUGGUGCAACACAAACCCUCUCUAUCCAUGCUUAGUUCUGUUUGGUCAAGUAUGAUAGCGUUUAGUCAUAAACGAACUCGUUGGUCUGAAAAAAUAUUCCUCAGCAUCUAUAAUUCAUCACUCUCAGAGUGGUUGGCGUUAGGAAGGGCAUCCAGCUGUAGAAACUCUGCCAAAUCAGAUUGGAGCCUGGUGUAGCCAUCUGGUUUCACCAGUCCUCAGUCAAAUCGUCCAACCCAUGCUAGCAUGGAAAGCGGACGUUAAACGACAAUGAUGAUGAUCCGUGAAGAAAAAAAGGGAGGAAAAAAGACCAACCAAGCAAUUUCAACUCAACACCACCAAAAUGGCCUUUAUAUCAAAAUAAAAAAAGAAUGACAUGAAAUUUUUUGAAAAAAAGUAUGAUGAUAAAAAAGCAACGAUAUGAAGAACAAAACAAAUGCAAGUGUCAUGACCAAGUCGUUAAAGUACGCAUUUAUUUUUAAUAUUCCAGAAAUAUAUUGUUAGUUCUAACCCUACCACAUGCUUUUCCUUGUGUAGCCUUAAAGCAAUGAUGUCAUAACUGCAAUGCUUUCCUCAGGUCUAAUCUAACCAGAUUGUAAACCUAAUCCAUCAUCCUCCUUUAAUACCACCAAUCUGGUGUUAAGCCAGCUGACCCUUGAGGUGCCUUCAGCAAUGUCUGCUACGUCGUAAGCAAUCAAGUGAAGUCUCUUGUCUGACGAUAUCUUCUUCCUUUUGUCCCACCAAAUCAACAAAUGACCCUGAAAAAGGGUCGUUGAUGCUGCAUUACCUCUUAAUAAUUCAUCAAAGGUUUAAAAUAACAAAACACUGCUAUUUGUUGUGCUGCCUGCUACCCAGGACUAAUGAAUGGUUCUUCAAUCACACAGCCCUUUACCUUUGUAAAAAAUCAGCUCUACAGGUGAAUAUCAAGCAACUUGUCCAAAGGUUCAAACAAAAGGAAACUCCAAGAUGAUAAAAUAUACUUGUUACUAUCAUAAUCAUAAAGGAAGGGUAUGAAUGGAGAGGAGAAGAAUAAUCUAUGUAAUGUUUCUGUUUUUAUCAAGAGCAUUCUAAACCGAUUGUCAGAAUGAUGGACAAAAUGCCUUACAGUAUUUAGUAAUUAUGGCCCUGUACAUUCUGGGUUCAAACCCUACCAAGGUCAGCCCUAUUUUAGAUCACUCAAUCUCGAUCAUGCAGUGAUAAGCACCACUUACAAAGUAUACAUUCUGGGUUCAAGCCCUAAUAUGAUCAUUCUAAUGUGGAUCCCUCAAUCUCAAUCGCACAGUGAUAAGCGCAACUUACAAAGAGAUAAACUGCUUACCUUCUGACAGGCUGAUUUCAGCUCAGAGCUGCGGCCAUGCUGAUGCACCACCGUGUUGCUACACUUGAGGGCAUAUCUGAGAGAGCGACUAUAAAAAGCAAUGGUCCCAAGACCAUACAUACAUAUAUAUAUAUAUAUAAACACAUAGACAUAUACACAUAAAUAUGCAUAAACAUAUAUAUACACAUGUA